UACGGAGGGUGCAAGCGUUAUCCGGAUUUACUGGGUUUAAAGGGUGUGUAGGCGGACUUUUAAGUCAGCGGUGAAAUCUCCGGGCUCAACCCGGAAACUGCCAUUGAUACUAUUUGUCUUGAAUGUUGUUGAGGUGGGCGGAACGGGUCAUGUAGCGGUGAAAUGCAUAGACAUGACCCGGAACACCGAUUGCGAAGGCAGCCCACUAAGCAACGAUUGACGCUGAGGCACGAAAGCGUGGGGAUCAAACAGG
rnacentral:rRNA from 1 species